rnacentral:rRNA from 1 species
ACGAACGCUGGCGGCGUGCUUAACACAUGCAGGUCGAACGGAUCAGGGAAGCUUGCUUUUCUGGUUAGCGGCGAACGGGUGAGUAACACGUGAGUAACCUGCCCUUCACUCUGGGAUAACUCCGGGAAACCGGGGCUAAUACUGGAUACGACCUGAACAGGCAUCUGUAUUGGGUGGAAAGAUUUAUUGGUGGAGGAUGGACUCGCGGCCUAUCAGCUUGUUGGUGAGGUAAUGGCUCACCAAGGCGACGACGGGUAGCCGGCCUGAGAGGGCGAUCGGCCACACUGGGACUGAGACACGGCCCAGACUCCUACGGGAGGUAGCAGUGGGGAAUAUUGCACAAUGGGCGAAAGCCUGAUGCAGCGACGCCGCGUGAGGGAUGAAGGCCUUCGGGUUGUAAACCUCUUUCAGCAGGGAAGAAGUGCCUGGGUUUUCUUGGGUGUGACGGUACCUGCAGAAGAAGCACCGGCUAACUACGUGCCAGCAGCCGCGGUAAUACGUAGGGUACAAGCGUUGUCCGGAAUUAUUGGGCGUAAAGAGCUUGUAGGCGGUUUGUCGCGUCUGCUGUGAAAUUUCGGGGCUCAACCCCGAACUUGCAGUGGGUACGGGCAGACUAGAGUGUGGUAGGGGAGACUGGAAUUCCUGGUGUAGCGGUGAAAUGCGCAGAUAUCAGGAGGAACACCGAUGGCGAAGGCAGGUCUCUGGGCCACUACUGACGCUGAGAAGCGAAAG